GUCAGGAGGGCUGAGUAGUCUAAGGUUCUGUGUUCAGGUCGUCAUCUUCCCUGGAGGUGUGGGUUCAAAUCCUACUCCUAACA
rnacentral:tRNA from 1 species